CUGCCCGCCGCGGAUCGCAAACACUAAUGAACUUACUGCGCCAUUUGAAAUUCACACGCACCAACAAAGUGCGGGGGGUGGGCAUUUCAGGUCAGCUGAGUCACCCGAGGAGGUGGCAGUGCAAGACACUGCCGGGAAGACGGAUUCCGAGGCAGAAGGGUGUAAUUAAGGAUUUCCACCCCCGAUUAGCAGCCGGACACUGUCCCUGCCUCGAUUUUGUUUGCUGUGGGAGGGAAAAAGAAAGUAUGCUGCUCCUCCCAAGACACCGGCCACUUUCUACUCACUGAAGUUCCCACCGCAGCGCUGGCUCCCGGCUCCCUAGCUCCCGCCCCCUGUCUGCAGGAAAGCCCUCCCCCGGAGCUUCCGAAACUGCUGGAGGUUCCAGAGUUUUGUAGCUCCGAAUGGGCGACCUGAGCCGAACCGCUCUCUGGCUGGGUGGUCGGCGGGAUCCUUCAGGCUCCUUUCGGGUCCGGGACGGGGCGGCGGCAGAGGUGGGGCGUGCGUGCUUGGGGCUGCCGAGUGAGUGCGGCUCCCUGGUGCGCGCCCGAGCAUCUCCCCGCCCUCUCCUGGGACCAGCAGUCGGCCCGUGGAGGGCUAGGAGCCCGCGACCAGGCCUGCCCCGGCCGUCGCCAACCUGUCCUUGGAAGCGUGGCGGAGACUGGUGCGCUCUCAGCCUCGUCGCGCCAGCCUCCUCGCGCCACCCUCCACUUUCAGCUUCAGAGCAGAGGAUUCCGCCGACCUCUACCUGUACCUGUACUCGGCCGUUAGGAAAUCCACUUGCAUUUUUAACUACCGUGCAGAACCAGAAACAGAUCGAGCACUGGGAGAACAAGGACGACGCCUCCUAGGAAAGCCUGAACCUUUAUGUUAGUUUAUCCAAAGUUUGGGCUAGAAGUGAGGAGAAUCCCUAAACUCGAACUGGGGUGCCCAGACCCACAGCC
rnacentral:antisense_RNA from 1 species